GCGACCCAAGAUACCGCCUCCAAAAGAAAGUCUACGGUAUGAUUGGUGGAAACUGCAUGAUCGCUGGAGGAGCAUAUCACAGCGAAGGAAGGUGGGCACUUCCUCACAGACUGCCCAAUCACAUAAGGAGCAGUUCUAUAAACGCUUGCGCUUCGGCGGCGGGCGUUCUUUUGGGAGUGAAAACUCUAGGGUGUCUUUUGGAUUUGUGGAACACGUUUUGCCGUUAGUAGUCGCGAAGUGGAACUCGAAGGGCCGCUUAACUGCAGGCCAGCCUUCCUCGAGUGCUGCGGUGGUCUGGGCUCUGCUUUAGUUCCUUUUCCCCCCUCAAUCUUCUCCCUUUUUGCAGAGAGCAUGGUGAGUCGGCGGCAGACCUUGACGGUAAAUCAGCUGCGUCCAGAGUCAACAGUGGGCAGGAGGGUUUGCUGGUAAGCUGGGCAUCCGUGUAUCUGAAUUGCUUUGCAAUAAAGCGGAAGUGCAA